rnacentral:rRNA from 1 species
AUUGAACGCUGGCGGCAGGCCUAACACAUGCAAGUCGAGCGGAUGAAGGGAGCUUGCUCCUGGAUUCAGCGGCGGACGGGCGAGUAAUGCCUAGGAAUCUGCCUGGUAGUGGGGGAUAACGUCCGGAAACGGGCGCUAAUACCGCAUACGUCCUGAGGGAGAAAGUGGGGGAUCUUCGGACCUCACGCUAUCAGCUGAGCCUAGGUCGGAUUAGCUAGUUGGUGGGGUAAAGGCCUACCAAGGCGACGAUCCGUAACUGGUCUGAGAGGAUGAUCAGUCACACUGGAACUGAGACACGGUCCAGACUCCUACGGGAGGCAGCAGUGGGGAAUAUUGGACAAUGGGCGAAAGCCUGAUCCAGCCAUGCCGCGUGUGUGAAGAAGGUCUUCGGAUUGUAAAGCACUUUAAGUUGGGAGGAAGGGCAGUAAGUUAAUACCUUGCUGUUUUGACGUUACCAACAGAAUAAGCACCGGCUAACUUCGUG